UCCCUUUUAUACCCUUUUCAUUUUAAAGUUUACAAAAGGUGGCUAUGUAUAAAGCUUUCUCAAAUUUGUAUAAACCUAUAUUCCGAGAAUAUUCCAUGGCCCCUCAAAAUACAAACAAUGUGUAACCAUCUUUGUAGUACUUGGUACCUGAGAACCGAACAUGCUAUCCAGCUGGCCUGUUGAAAUCCCACAAACUCAUUUUCACAGCACAGGAAAGUGUUUGUCCAUACCUCAAGUAUCACUUCAAUCAUGCUCGAGCCCGCUUCUUCCCCUUGUUUUGCAGCGCAGAAGCACGAAAUCAGCUUGAAAUACAAAGAUGUCACACCCUGUCCAAAGAUCACAUUGCCAAGGUGAGAAUCUCAACACUCUAGAAUCCUCAAGUCUCACCUCCCGCGAGAAUUCCAGGCAACAACAGCCAUGGACAAGUUCCUCCAAAGCGUCGACUCGAAUCCCCAUAGACGAGACGCA
rnacentral:lncRNA from 1 species